UACGAAGGGGGCUAGCGUUGUUCGGAAUUACUGGGCGUAAAGCGCGCGCAGGCGGUCCUUUAAGUCGGGGGUGAAAGCCCAGAGCUCAACUCUGGAACUGCCUUCGAAACUAGAGGACUUGGGUACGGGAGAGGUGAGUGGAAUUCCGAGUGUAGAGGUGAAAUUCGUAGAUAUUCGGAGGAACACCAGUGGCGAAGGCGGCUCACUGGUCCAUUACUGGACGCUGAGGUGGCGAAAGCGUGGGGAGCAAACAGG
rnacentral:rRNA from 1 species